GACAGAGGGUGCAAGCGUUAAUCGGAAUUACUGGGCGUAAAGCGUGCGCAGGCGGCUUUGCAAGACAGAUGUGAAAUCCCCGGGCUUAACCUGGGAACUGCAUUUGUGACUGCAUGGCUGGAGUGCGGCAGAGGGGGAUGGAAUUCCGCGUGUAGCAGUGAAAUGCGUAGAUAUGCGGAGGAACACCGAUGGCGAAGGCAAUCCCCUGGGCCUGCACUGACGCUCAUGCACGAAAGCGUGGGGAGCAAACAGG
rnacentral:rRNA from 1 species